rnacentral:rRNA from 1 species
CCUACGGGAGGCAGCAGUGGGGAAUAUUGGACAAUGGGGGCAACCCUGAUCCAGUCAUGCCGCGUGUGUGAAGAAGGCCCUCGGGUUGUAAAGCACUUUCAGUGAGGAAGAACGCCUGGUGGUUAAUACCCAUCAGGAAAGACAUCACUCACAGAAGAAGCACCGGCUAACUCCGUGCCAGCAGCCGCGGUAAUACGGAGGGUGCGAGCGUUAAUCGGAAUUACUGGGCGUAAAGCGCGCGUAGGUGGCUUGAUAAGCCGGUUGUGAAAGCCCCGGGCUCAACCUGGGAACGGCAUCCGGAACUGUCAAGCUAGAGUGCAGGAGAGGAAGGUAGAAUUCCCGGUGUAGCGGUGAAAUGCGUAGAGAUCGGGAGGAAUACCAGUGGCGAAGGCGGCCUUCUGGACUGACACUGACACUGAGGUGCGAAAGCGUGGGUAGCAAACAGGAUUAGAUACCCCUGUAGUC